AUCACCAGGUGCUAUACACACCAUCACCAGGUGCUCUGCACGCCAUCACCAGGUGCUCUGCACGCCAUCACCAGGUGCUCUGCACGCCAUCACCAGGUGCUCUGCACACCAUCACCAGGUGCUCUGCACGCCAUCACCAGGUGCUAUACACACCAUCACCAGGUGCUCUGCA